rnacentral:rRNA from 1 species
ACCUGGGAACUGCAUUCGAAACUGGCAGGCUAGAGUCUUGUAGAGGGGGGUAGAAUUCCAGGUGUAGCGGUGAAAUGCGUAGAGAUCUGGAGGAAUACCGGUGGCGAAGGCGGCCCCCUGGACAAAGACUGACGCUCAGGUGCGAAAGCGUGGGGAGCAAACAGGAUUAGAUACCCUGGUAGUCCACGCCGUAAACGAUGUCGACUUGGAGGUUGUGCCCUUGAGGCGUGGCUUCCGGAGCUAACGCGUUAAGUCGACCGCCUGGGGAGUACGGCCGCAAGGUUAAAACUCAAAUGAAUUGACGGGGGCCCGCACAAGCGGUGGAGCAUGUGGUUUAAUUCGAUGCAACGCGAAGAACCUUACCUACUCUUGACAUCCAGAGAACUUUCCAGAGAUGGAUUGGUG